rnacentral:rRNA from 1 species
AGUGAACGCUGGCGGUAGGCCUAACACAUGCAAGUCGAACGGCAGCACAGUAAGAGCUUGCUCUUACGGGUGGCGAGUGGCGGACGGGUGAGGAAUACAUCGGAAUCUACUUUUUCGUGGGGGAUAAUGUAGGGAAACUUACGCUAAUACCGCAUACGACCUACGGGUGAAAGCAGGGGAUCUUCGGACCUUGCGCGAUUGAAUGAGCCGAUGUCGGAUUAGCUAGUUGGCGGGGUAAAGGCCCACCAAGGCGACGAUCCGUAGCUGGUCUGAGAGGAUGACCAGCCACACUGGAACUGAGACACGGUCCAGACUCCUACGGGAGGCGGCAGUGGGGAAUAUUGGACAAUGGGCGCAAGCCUGAUCCAGCCAUACCGCGUGGGUGAAGAAGGCCUUCGGGUUGUAAAGCCCUUUUGUUGGGAAAGAAAAGCAGCAGGUUAAUACCCCGCUGUUCUGACGGUACCCAAAGAAUAAGCACCGGCUAACUUCGUG